rnacentral:rRNA from 1 species
UACGAAGGGUGCAAACGUUGCUCGGAAUCAUUGGGCGUAAAGCGCGCGUAGGCGGCCCGGUAAGUCCGUUGUGAAAGUCAAAGGCUCAACCUUUGAACGCCGAUGGAUACUGCCGGGCUAGAGUCCGGAAGAGGCGAGUGGAAUUCCUGGUGUAGCGGUGAAAUGCGCAGAUAUCAGGAAGAACACCAAUGGCGAAAGCAGCUCUCUGGGACGGUACUGACGCUGAGACGCGAAAGCGUGGGGAGCGAACAGG